rnacentral:rRNA from 1 species
UGUUUGAUCCUGGCCUCAGGAUGAACGCCUAGCGGCAGGCUUAAUACAUGCAAGUCGGACGGCAGCACGGGUAGCAAUACCUGGUGGCGAGUGGCGCACGGGUGCGUAACGCGUAUGCAACCUACCCUUAACUGAGACAUAACCUGGCGAAAGCUGGGCUAAUAUCUCAUGAGGUUAUAGAGAGGCAUCCUGAUAUAAUCAAAGCAGCGAUGUGGUUAAGGAUGGGCAUGCGUCCCAUUAGCUAGUUGGCGAGGUAACGGCUCACCAGGGCGACGAUGGGUAGGGGUUCUGAGAGGAAGGUCCCCCACACUGGUACUGAGACACGGACCAGACUCCUACGGGAGGCAGCAGUAAGGAAUAUUGGGCAAUGGUCGGAAGACUGACCCAGCCAUGCCGCGUGCAGGAAGAAGGCCCUAUGGGUUGUAAACUGCUUUAGCCAGGGGCUAAACCUACCGAUGCGUUGGUAGCUGAAGGUACCUGGAGAAUAAGCAUCGGCUAA